rnacentral:rRNA from 1 species
GCCAUGGGGCUUCAUACCAUGCAGUCGAGCGGUGUAGAGGUGCUUGCACCUCUUGAGAGCGGCGGACGGGUGAGUAAAGCCUAGGAAUCUGCCUGGUAGUGGGGGAUAACGCUCGGAAACGGACGCUAAUACCGCACACGUCCUACGGGAGAAAGCAGGGGACCUUCGGGCCUUGCGCUAUCAUAUGAGCCUAGGUCGGAUUACCUAGUUGGUGAGGUAAUGGCUCACCAAGGCGACGAUCCGUAACUGGUCUGAGAGGAUGAUCAGUCACACUGGAACUGAGACACGGUCCAGACUCCUACGGGAGGCAGCAGUGGGGAAUAUUGGACAAUGGGCGAAAGCCUGAUCCAGCCAUGCCGCGUGUGUGAAGAAGGUCUUCGGAUUGUAAAGCACUUUAAGUUGGGAGGAAGGGCAUUAACCUAAUACGUUAGUGUUUUGACGUUACCGACAGAAUAAGCACCGGCUAACUCUGUGCCAGCAGCCGCGGUAAUACAGAGGGUGCAAGCGUUAAUCGGAAUUACUGGGCGUAAAGCGCGCGUAGGUGGUUCGUUAAGUUGGAUGUGAAAUCCCCGGGCUCAACCUGGGAACUGCAUUCAAAACUGUCGAGCUAGAGUAUGGUAGAGGGUGGUGGAAUUUCCUGUGUAGCGGUGAAAUGCGUAGAUAUAGGAAGGAACACCAGUGGCGAAGGCGACCACCUGGACUGAUACUGACACUGAGGUGCGAAAGCGUGGGGAGCAAACAGGAUUAGAUACCCUGGUAGUCCACGCCGUAAACGAUGUCAACUAGCCGUUGGGAGCCUUGAGCUCUUAGUGGCGCAGCUAACGCAUUAAGUUGACCGCCUGGGGAGUACGGCCGCAAGGUUAAAACUCAAAUGAAUUGACGGGGGCCCGCACAAGCGGUGGAGCAUGUGGUUUAAUUCGAAGCAACGCGAAGAACCUUACCAGGCCUUGACAUCCAAUGAACUUUCAGGAGAAUGGAUUGGUGCCUUCGGGAACAUUGAGACAGUGCUGCAUGGCUGUCGUCAGCUCGUGUCGUGAGAAUGGUUGGGUUAAGUCCCGUACGAGCGCAACCCUGUCUAGUACAGCACGUCAUGGUGGGCACUCUAGAGACUGCGUGACAAACGGAAGAGAAGGUGGGGAUGACGUCCAGUCAUCAUGCCUACGCCUGGGCUACACGUGCUACAAUGUUCGGUACGAGUGCAGCCGAGUGACUAUCCAAAACCGAGCGUGUCGAAUCGCGGAUCUCUGAC